AUUGGGCUUAGGGUUUGUUUUUUCUCAUCAGCACAAAAUUGAAGAAGAAGAAAAAGAAGGAGACGAACCCAAACCUUUUCAUGCGGCUGAGUUCUCUCGUCGACGGCGAUGGGCUCAUUCUCUCUCAAGCUCCUGCCUCGGAUCCCCUCUACUCUCAAGCUUCCUCCCUCAGAUUGGUGGGUGGCAGGUAUCUUACUCUCCAAACCCAUUUCAAGGUUUGGUUUUUUAUUUUUCCGCCUAUCUCACCAUCUCUCUUGUUUAUAUGUACAUUUGUGUUUUUUUUUAUUUCUCACACGGUAGGCUCCCUCUUUCUCACAUUCUCUACUACUCUCUCUCUCUCGUUCUCUCUCUAUAUAUAUAUGUGUGUUUAUGUAUUUUUUUUAAUUUCUAUUUUGUUUUACUGAUUUUAUUAUUUGCUAUUUUGUGAAAAGGCUCCUUCUCUGAGCUAUCUCUCUAAAUCAAGUUUAUAUGUAUAUAUAUAUAUAUAUAUAUUUUAUAUACAUAUUUUAAUUUUCUUCUGUACUAAUUUUGUGCUCUGUUUUGUGUGUGUGAAAGGGGAAGAUUUUAUGGGUUUGUUGUGUGCUCACCUUAUGUCUCCCUCGGCAUCCUAAAUAUUGUGAUAUCUAUAUGUGUUUUAAUUUUUGUUUUGAUUUAUAUUGUUUUUUUAGAAUGUUGUAUGUACGUUAGAUGUUUAACCUUAUAUGACAUAUCAUUUGUGGUUUGAGAUUUCUCAAUUAAGUUGAUGGUGAACAUGGUUAUGGAGGAUUAACGGUGUACCUUUACUAUGGUGGCUUUGGUGGUGAUCAUGAUUAUUGGGUCAAGAUUGUGGAAGAGGUCGUCACUAUCAGAGGCCUUGUUAUGAUCAUCAAUAUAUCAUACUUCUAUGAUGCAAACCAUGACUCUAGCAACAUUUUCGAUAUAUGGCUCCAGAAAAGAAGAAAGUUCAAGAAUUGAAGCGGUGGAUUGAAGAAUUGGAAAAUGAAUUGAGGUAUGCGUGGAUUAAGAAAUGGAAGAUGAUCAUUUUAUAACAGCUCCUAACAUUCCUGAAUUUUAGCCUUCGCCUGAUUUACUCGACAAAGAUCAAAACGAUAUGUUCAAAACAAAGAUUUAACGGGCAGAGAAAAAAAUAAGCAGGAUGCACUACUUUAGAUCAAGAUUGCAAGAGUAUUCGAAGGUUCGAAUCCACAAUAGCUAUUGAUUGGAACCUUAUAUAUUUAUAUGUAUAUAUAUUAUUCUUGUAGUGAAAAUGACAUUCUGUUAGCAUUGGACCAUGGGUAGAAACUAGAAUGUUUGUGGUGAUAUUGAAGAGGAUAAGUUUUUGCAAAGGAACGAAGAAGUUGCUUGAAGAAUCUCUCAUCAAGUCAAGUUAUGAUAUUAUGGGGUUCCAUUGUUAAUUCAAGUUAUCCUUAUUAGAUUUCUUAGUUCUGUAUUAUAAAUGUGAUAAGAUUGAUUAUUUAUAUUUGUUCCAAAUUUGGUUUUUUUUAGAUUUUCAACUAUCUCAUUGAAUGUACAAGUUUUGUUAUUUUAAUCUAUAAGUUUUCAAAUUUGUAUAUAAA